rnacentral:lncRNA from 1 species
CACACCUCACUAAUUUUUUAAAAAGUUUUUGUAGAGACAAGGGUUUGCCAUGUUGCUAAGGCUGGUAUCAAAGUACUAGGGUCAAGCACUCCUCCCUCCUUAGUCUCCCAAAGUGCUGGGAUUACAGGCAUGAGCCACUGCACUCAGCCUUUAUUAUUUCUUAUAAGGCAGAUCUUCUAGUGACAAAUUAUUUUAGUUGUUUUUCUGAGAAAUCUCAACUUCUCUUUUAAUUUUGAAGGGUAGCUUUUGAUGGAUACAGAAUUCUUGGUUGAAAGUAUCUUCUUUCUGCUCUUUGAUUAUGUCUCCAUCUUGUUUUCCAGCCUCUUUGCAUCUGAAAAUAAGUCAUUUCUAAAUUUUGUUUAGAUUUUUUUCAUUCAUAAUGGAUCAUUUUUCUCAUGCUGUUUUGAAGAUUCUCUAUUAGUUUUGGCUUUCAACAAUUUGAUUAUAAUGUUUCUAUGCAUAGAUGUAUGCAUUUAUUUAUAAUCUUUUUAGCUUUUUGGAUGUGUAAUUUUUUAACUAUAUUUGUUACUUUUGGGGUCGCUGUGUCUUUAAAUAUUCUUUCUUUCCCUUUCUCUUCUUUAUUUCUUGGAAUUCCAUUUUGUGUAUAAUGCUGUGCUUAUUAAUGUUCCAUAGGUUUCUGUGGAUAGUUCCAUUUUUCUUCAUUCAUUUUUCCUUCUGCUCCUUACACUGGAUAAUCUCAGUUGAUUUAUAUGCUAGCUUGCUAAUUUCUUUUAUAUGCCUGCUCAAACCUCCUGUUGAUUUUUUUUAUUUUAGCUAAUGCAAUUUUAAACUAUAGAAUUUGUAUUUGGUUUUUAAAUAUAACUUCUAUUUCUUUAUUGAUUGUCUUUAUUUGGUGAAAUAGUCUCAUAUUUUAAUUAUAGAUGUGAUUGUGUUUAGGUCUUUGUGAAUUGUACUAGCUUCCUAGGAUUGCUUAAUAAACUACCACACUCUAAAUAGCUCAAAACAAUAGAAACUUAUUAUCUCACAGUUCUGGGAGCUAAAAUUCCAAAAUCAAGGUGUCAUCAGGGUGAUGCUCCCCUUGAAGGCUCUAGAGGAAUUUAUAUUCCAUGCCUGUCUUCCAACUUCUUGUGGUUGUUGACAAUCCUUUUCAUUCCUUGGCUUGUAAUUGUAUGCCUCUGCCUUUACUCUUGUGUUCAUUUGGUGCUCUCUCUAUAUGUAUCUGUGCCUAAAUUUCCCUCUGCUUAUAAGAAAACCAGUCAUAUUGGAUUAGGAACCACUUUAGUCCAGUAUGAUCUAAUUUUAACUAAUUAUAUAGUUAAAGGCCCUAUUUUAACAUAAGCUCACAUUCUGAGUUUAUGAGUGGGCAUGGAUUUGGGGGUCUUCAACCCAGUUUAAGCAUGUAUAUAAUAGUUGACUUAAAGUGUUUUUUGAAAAUGGAAAUUUUUAAUAAUAUAAUGUGUAAACACUGGACAUCAGAUACUCUCCCUUUCUGGUGUUUGUUGCUGCCACUGCUUGUUUCUCUUGCUGUUUCUUAUUAAUUAAUUUUCCGAACCAGUUCUAUAAAGUCUCUGUUCUUUGUCACACGUAUCACUGAAGUCUCUGCUUGCUUAGCUUUGUGGUCACCUAAUGAUUCAAAAGACAUUUCCGUAAAUGCCUGGAAGCAAUCAGUCUUCUAGCCUUCGCUGAUGGGUUCUGCAUAUGAGUUCAGGCAUGCCUUCAGGACUCCACCAGGCACUUGGUAAUUCUGCCUUAUCCUUCACUUUUUGCUUGAGCAGCGCCGAAAGGAGGGAAAUUUGGACAUGGACACAUAGGGAAGACAGCCAUGUGGAGACAGAGGCAGAGGUGGACCUGCUGCCGCAAAACCACAGGGCGCCAAGUACUGUGGGCCACUGAGAAAACUAAAGGAGAGGAAGGAUUCUUCCCUGGAGCUUUGGAGAGGGUAAUGAACUGUAACCUCACUGGACGUGUAAACAGACUGUGACCUACCUACUCUUGUGCCAAUCAUGGAGUUUCAGCCAAUCACAGGCGGCCGGCUGUUCAAACCAUGUUUAAAUAAGGCAAACGCAGAGCUGUAAGCAAUCUAGGUGUUUCUGCACCUCUCGUCCAUUUUCUGUAAGUCCUUUUUCUGUUCAUAAAUCUUCUUCCAUCACGUGGCUGUGCUGGAGUCUUUGAACCUACCCUGCCUCGGGAG